rnacentral:rRNA from 1 species
CCUACGGGUGACAGCAGUGAGGAAUAUUGGUCAAUGGGCGGGAGCCUGAACCAGCCAAGUCGCGUGAGGGAAGACGGUCCUAUGGAUUGUCAACCUCUUUAGGCGGGGAGCAAUGCCGGGCACGCGUGCCCGGAGGGAGAGUACCCGCAGAAUAAGCAUCGGCUAACUCCGUGCCAGCAGCCGCGGUAAUACGGGGGAUGCGAGCGUUACCCGGAUUUAGUGGUUUAAAGGGGUGCGUGGGCGGAGUUUUAAGUCAGCGGUAAAAUCUCCGGGCUAAACACGGGCCGGCCGUUGAAACUGGGGAUCUUGAGUGUGCGAGAGGUAUGCGGAAUGCGUGGUGUAGCGGUGAAAUGCAUAGAUAUCACGCAGAACUCCGAUUGCGAAGGCAGCUUACCGGCGCCCGACUGACGCUGAGGCACGAAAGCGUGGGGAUCGAACAGGAUUAGAUACCCUUGUAGUC